UACAGAGGUCUCAAGCGUUGUUCGGAUUCACUGGGCGUAAAGGGUGCGUAGGUGGUGAGGUAAGUCGGAUGUGAAAUCUCCGGGCUCAACCCGGAAAUGGCAUUGGAAACUACCUUGCUGGAGGGUUUGAGGGGGGAUUGGAAUACUUGGUGUAGCAGUGAAAUGCGUAGAUAUCAAGUGGAACACCAGUGGCGAAGGCGAAUCCCUGGAAAAUACCUGACACUGAGGCACGAAAGCUAGGGGAGCAAACAGG
rnacentral:rRNA from 1 species